UACGUAGGGUGCGAGCGUUAAUCGGAAUUACUGGGCGUAAAGCGCGUGUAGGCGGCUAUGCAAGUCGGGCGUGAAAUCCCACGGCUCAACCGUGGAAGUGCACUCGAAACUGCGUAGCUAGAGUCUCGGAGAGGAAGGUGGAAUACUUGGUGUAGAGGUGAAAUUCGUAGAUAUCAAGUGGAACACCGGUGGCGAAGGCGGCUCACUGGCCCGUAACUGACGCUGAGGCACGAAAGCGUGGGGAGCAAACAGG
rnacentral:rRNA from 1 species